rnacentral:snoRNA from 1 species
CAAUGAUGACAAUCUUAGGACACCUUUGGAGUAACCAUGAAAAAGUUGUUUUUCUCUGAGCCAU